rnacentral:rRNA from 1 species
GACGAACGCUGGCGGCGCGCUUAACACAUGCAAGUCGAACGGAAAGGCCUGCUUUCCCUUGUGGAUUGCGGGUACUCGAGUGGCGAACGGGUGAGUAACACGUGAGUGAUCUGCCCCCAACUUGGGUAUAAGCCUGGGAAACUGGGUCUAAUUCCCGAUAGGACUGCAGGGUGGUGCCUGUGGUGGAAAACGAUUUUCUAGUGGUUGGGGAUGAGCUCGCGGCCUAUCAGCUUGUUGGUGGGGUAAUGGCCUACCAAGGCGGCGACUGGUAGCCGGCCUGGGAGGGUGGACGGGCACAGUGGGACUGAGAUACGGCCCAGACUCCUACGGGAGGCAGCAGUGGGGAAUAUUGCACAAUGGGCGGAAGCCUGAUGCAGCGACGCCGCGUGGGGGAUGACGGCCUUCGGGUUGUAAACUCCUUUCGACCGCGAGGAAGCCACCUGGUUGGAAGGGUGGUGACGGUAGUGGUAGAAGAAGCACCGGCUAACUACGUG